UACCUUGUUCCUCAGACCUGCAAGCAGAUCGUUUUUAAUGCCUGGACUCUAGUACUUCUCUUUUUUUUUUUUUUUUUUUUUUNNNNNNNNNNNNNNNNNNNNNNNNNNNNNNNNNNNNNNNNNNNNNNNNNNNNNNNNNGUGUUAAAAGCAGAAGUCUCUUAUCUGCUGGGCAGUUUGGAGAAGGCCAUGGAGACCAAGGCAGACUGACCUUCAGUGGAGAGUGAUAGUAGACAUGGGAUCAAGAGAAAAACAGAUGUGAAAAUUAUCUAGCAUUAUGUAAGGUGUUUAGUAUUCACUAUAAGUAAAACAUACUUUGGGGGCCCAGAGAACCAAUUUAUAUCUACCAGGAUAACUUGAAAAUAAUACAUGUUGGAGAGGAUGUGGAGAAAUUGGAACCCUCAUACAUUACUGAUAAGAAUGUAAAACGAUACAGCUGCUAGGAAAAACAGUUUCCAGUUCUUUAAAAGUUAAACAGUUACUAUGUCAUCUCAAAAUUUCACUCUUAGGUAGAUACUCAAGAGAACUGAAAAUACGUAUUCACACAAAAACUUAGACAUUCAUAGCAGCAUUAUUCAUAGUAGCCCAAAGGUGGAAACAACCCAAAUCUCCAUCAAAUGAUGAAUGGCUAAACAAAAUGUGAUAUAUCCAUGCAAUGGAAUAUUAUUCAGCCAUAAAAAGGAAUAUAACAUAAUACUGAUACAUGCUACAACAUGAAUGAAUUUCAAAAAUAUUAUGCUAUGUGGAAGAAAUUAUACAUGAAAAGUCACAUAUUGUAUGAUUGCAUUUAUAUGAAAUUUCUAGAAUAGACAAAUCAAUGGAAAGAGAAAGUAGAUUAGUAUUUUCCAGGGGAUGGGGGAGAGGGAUGAAUGGGGAAGGCUGCCUAAAGUGUGCAGAUUUGUGAGGUGAUGAAAAUAUUCUGAAAUUAGAUAGUAAUGUUGGUUACAACCUUGGGAAUAUAUUAAACUAUACUGAAUUGUACAAUUAAUAAUGGUAUGCUGAUAGUAUAUGAAUUCUAUCUCAAUGCUUAAAAAUUGCAGGAUCUCUCUAAGGAGUUCUUUGGCUAAUGUGCAUUAUAAAUUUCUAAGAUACAGAUACAGAAUUUUAUAAUUUCCAUCUUAUUUAACAAUAAAAUAUUUUUCAUAGGGUAGCUCUUUGGGAACAGCUGUAAGAAAUUAUUGCUCUAGUGAAUUCACUCCAAAUAAAUAUUCAUGUAAGAGCAUUCAGUACCUAGAGUAGAUGGUUUGGCUUAAAUGAUUCAUCACUGUUGAUUCUAGGUCAUUGCCAUUUCUCCAUUUCAUUUUGGCUCUGUUGACAGUAUUCUUCAUUAU
rnacentral:lncRNA from 1 species